GACGAACGCUGGCGGCGUGCCUAAUCCAUGCAAGUAGAACGCAGUUGCGAACGGGUGAGUAACGCGUAGGUAACUUCCUCAUAGCGGGGGAUUACUUUUUGAAACGAUAGCUAAUACCGCAUACUUUGAGAUGGACCUGCGUUGUAUUAGCUAGUUGGUGAGGUAAAGGGUCACCAAGGCGACGAUACAUAGCCGACCUGAGAGGGAGAUAGGGAAAAAAGGGAAUGGGAAAAGGGCAAGAAGGCGAAGGGAGGGAGGAGUAGGGAAACAUGGGCAAAGGAGGAAAAUCAGAACGAGGAAAGCCGGGUGGGUGAAGAAGGUUAGCGGGGCGUAAAGCUAUGUUGUUAGAGAAGCGGUAACUAACCAGAAAGGGACGGCUAACUACGUGCCAGCCGCCGCGGUAAUUC
rnacentral:rRNA from 1 species